rnacentral:rRNA from 1 species
AUUGAACGCUGGCGGCAUGCCUUACACAUGCAAGUCGAACGGCAGCACGGGAGCAAUCCUGGUGGCGAGUGGCGAACGGGUGAGUAAUAUAUCGGAACGUGCCCAGUCGUGGGGGAUAACGCAGCGAAAGCUGUGCUAAUACCGCAUACGAUCUACGGAUGAAAGCGGGGGAUCGCAAGACCUCGCGCGAUUGGAGCGGCCGAUAUCAGAUUAGCUAGUCGGUGAGGUAAAGGCUCACCAAGGCAACGAUCUGUAGUUGGUCUGAGAGGACGACCAGCCACACUAGGACUGAGACACGGCCCAGACUCCUACGGGAGGCAGCAGUGGGGAAUAUUGGACAAUGGACGCAAGUCUGAUCCAGCCAUUCCGCGUGCAGGACGAAGGCCUUCGGGUUGUAAACUGCUUUUGUACAGAACGAAAAGGUUUCUAUUAAUACUAGGAGCUCAUGACGGUACUGUAAGAAUAAGCACCGGCUAACUACGUGCCAGCCGCCGCCGUAAAAC